ACGAAAAAUUAGGUGUCUAUUUACUUGUGACCACUAAGUGUAUAUAUAUAUAUACACAUAUAUAGUUGUGUUAAACUGAUCAUUUCAAUAUGCUCCUUUGUUUAACCUAUUAUGUUUACCAUUUUCUUUUGUACAUAAAUCUUAUGCAUAAAAUAAAUAAAAUCCUAUUUUGUUAAACUUGUAUUGUUUGCAAAUCCACUAAUACUAAAGGGUACUAAGAGAAAUAUAAAACACAAAGUACAUAUUUACUAAAAAAGAGAACUGUAAGUCAACAGAAGAGUCAUUAAGUAUUCUUCUAAGAAUGACUAUAUUCAUGCAACAAUAUAAAGCAAGAAAUCACACCAAGAGUAAACAGUACAAUUAGUGAUUAUAAUUAAAGACCAAAUAUACUCAUUCAAAAUUGUAAAGCUAGAAACUACACUGAGAGUCAACAGUACAAUCAGUAAGUAUAAUUUUAUUUAUUUACAUGCUAGAAAAGGUUAACACUGGCCAAAGCAUAAAGUUUUCCUUCUUCCAGUUCUGGAGUUCCAGCACAGCAUAUGUUUCUGUAAGCAGUCCAUGUACCAUUUCACCAUACCUAAUUCCAAACCACCAGCCAGCAGCAUCAAAUUUCUUUAAACCUUGUUAUUAUUAAUUAUUGUGUAUCACUUUUUUCUAAUUUUUAACAUUGUAAAUAAAAUUAUUUUAAUAUUACUUACACUAUUAUUUUACACUUGAGGAGUUUAGCACAGGUUUUCAUUUUUCCAAUAAUCUCAAAGUUCUGUUUAUAUUGCCAAUUCAAUUUGAUAUAAGUAGCAUCUGUACUUGUCACAUACUUAUAUGUUUGCUUCACUUCCAUAUUCCCCUCACUUUUCUCCUGUCUUCUACCAGUUACUCAUGUCACUUCUCUUCCAUGUUUUUCCUGUUCCCUCAGAGCACAUGCCAUUUCAUGUACAACAUCACUUGGAGUUCUUACCAGGUUGCCCAAUAGCUGUGCUUUACCAUUUACUGUCAGUGGUCUCCUUUCUGUUUGAAUGAUAUAUUGCUGUUACUGGAAUAUAGUUCAGAAGAGUCUUCAAGUUUCUGAAAGGUGUUACUCAUAUUCUUUGAACAAAUUCUAUCUCCAUUUUAGUGGUGAGAAGUGUAAUUAUAUGACUAAUUAUGAUCGUUCAAUGCUAUAAAGCUAGAACUCACACUGAGCUGACAGUACAAUAAGUCACUGUAAGACCAACUCUACCCAUUUAACAGUGUAAAACUAUAAAUCACAUUGAGAUUAACAGCAUAUUGGUAAUAUUACUUUCAAAAUCAUCUGUAUCUACUCAACAAUGAUGGUUCUAAAGAAACACUACCUUUCAAAGUCAUAUUCAACAAUGAUUUUUAUAAAGAAACAUUACAAUUUAAAAAUCAAUCAAACAGUAAUAUUUCUGCAAAAAAUUACAUUUAAUAAUCACUUAAAACCAACAAUAUGCAUCCAACAUAUAGAGAAAGGAAAUCCAGAACAUAGUGAUGUAUAAAUGUUUUUGUUUUUGAAAUUAUUCUCUUUGAAGCAAAUAUAUUUUAAUCCAUUUUUGUAUAUCUAAACAGUUUCAAUUUAACAUAAUAUUAAGUAAAAUUAGUGUAUGUUUUAAGUUAUACAUGUUUAUAACUAAAUGUGGCUUUGGUACUAUGAGAAUUUAUAUGUAAAACAGAUUAUAUAUACAUAAUAUCAUUGUCAUCCACUUACUAACAUUUUCAUGAAAUCCAUGAUACAUUUAAUAUAUUAAGUACUUGUAUAUGAUUGGAAAGGUUGUGUUGGAACACUUAUGAUGGGAUGAAAAGUUACUUGUUUUUUGUAUGUUUAUGGAGUUUCAUUUAUAUGUCUCAUAAGGUUAGUUUGUUUUUAAAGAGCUUCUACAUAAAUUAAUAUUCAAGGAUAAUUAUUUUAGAACCAUCUUCCAGGAACAGAAGAAAUUUAUCAAACUUCAUGUGCCAUCCCUAAACCAAAAAUUAUUGAAGAUGUUGAUGGUAGUGUGCUGGAACUUCUACGAGUAAGACGACGACGCCCAUAUAACACAUACAGCAGUGAAGAACGGUUCCUGAUUGGGCAGUAUGCAGCUCAACAUGGAAACACCAAAGCAGCAGAGUAUUUUACUAAGAUGUUAAAAAAAGAAAUAUCUGAAAGUGUUGCAAGAAGAUUCAAGAAUAUUUAUCUUAAGUUUAGGAAAUAAUAUAGGUUCAAAAAAGAAACAAAUUAAUUACUGUACAUCUGACUGUUUAAGCAACAUAGUCAGUGAAGAGAAAGAAAAUAAUGGAAGUAAAUGCUUGUCACUAACUUUGUUAUUUGUCAGGUCUUCUUUGCUUUGUAAUAAAAUGUAUGCUUCAAAUAUAUUUUGGGCAAAGUUAAUUUCUGUGUAAUUACCUAUUUUUGGGUUUUGCAUGAGAGAUGUAUCCAAACUUUGGCUCUGAAAAGAUUGAAUCAAUCAUUGAUCUGAUUGCUCCAAGUAUGUUUGGAUCAACUGAUGAUCUUAAAUCCUUGAGUUACUUUGCAUCACAACUUGAGCCUAAACCUUUGUAAAGGUCCCUAUUAGUCCAGAUUGUAAAUUCCUAAGUUAGUUUCCAUUAAGACUUUACCCUAAGCCCCUUUUAAAGUUUUUAUUAGUCCCUGAUCUUAAACUCUUGAGUUAAAUGGGAUAAACUUUCAGUUUUUAGCCUCUGAGUAUAUCUUCUUGAGCCUGAGAGUACACUUCAAACAAUUUCUUAUCCUGUUUUGCUCAAAUAGUAUUUAAAAUUAAUCUCUAUAAUUCAUCUGGUUUGAAGACCUAGAACAGUAUUUUAGAUUUAGCCCCUUAUUUCAUCUAAUUUGUAAAUGUAGAACAAUAUUUUUAAUUUAGUUGCUUAGUUCAUUGGGUUUAAAGACCUAAGACAGUAUUUAAAGUUAGCUCCUUAAUACACCUUGUUUGAAGACCCAGAACAUUAUUUAAAAAUAGUCUUCUUAGUUCACUUGGAUUGAAGACCUAGAGCAUUACUUGCAAUUAAGCAUUCACCUGGUUUGAAGGCCUGGAACACUAUUAAAAAUUAGGUUUCUUAUUUGGACAAGAUUAAUAUCUUAUCUUAAGCCACUGAGACAACUGGGGUUAAUACAUGAUCUCAAUAUUGUUGGGAAACAUUGUAUUAAACGAAAAGAAAUGCAGUUUUUUUUAUAUAUUUCAAUUUAUUCCACAACUUUGUUCAAGAACUAAGCAACCACCAAACUUCUGAAUAAGUACGUGAAAAUUGAUACUCUUGUAAAAUACUCAAAACUGUUAAAUUUUCAGUUGAGGGUUAUUUUAGAGUUUUGAUUUGAUGUAAUUUUAAUAAUGUCUCUUACAAAAAUGUGACUUCUAUUUCAUUUAAUACAGGCUUCACUCACAUUUUCAAACAAAUCUGGGUACCAGAAAUUAAUUUUAGAUAGAUAAAUUUCAACGUAUGGUAUAUUGUCUUCCAAAACAAGUUAUGUUUCCAAACUUAGAGUAAUGAAAGUUCCAUAUCAACCAUUUUUGAGAGAAAUGCAUGAACUGUAGUGAACAAAGGUUAGAAUCUGAUUUUAUGUACUUUCGUGAAAAUGUUCUCAUUAAAAAGUAUCUAUAGAUAUCUGUUUGACUAAAAAAAAAAGCAUUAUGAUUUUCAGGUUAAGAAAGUUUUGUAUGGUUGUUCUUGCAGAAGCAGUGACUAUCAAUUGACAAACAUUUUUUUUAUCUUGAUCUUAGUGUCUUUGUACAACCAGCUUAUUACACCAUGAAAAGUUACUUGAAAAUAUUUUUCUUCAACAUGCUAUGAAUUGUGGAAAAAAUAACAGACAUCAAGUAUAUGAUAAAGUUUUACAACUAAAAAUAUGAAAAAAAGGAAAUAAAAAAAUUAACACAGGAUAUGUUAUAGUAUCCUGGGUUUUCUUUGCUGAUUGGAAACACUACCAAGCACAGGAAUUUUCUUUUCAUUGGAUGAUAUUUAUGAUUUUGUUCAAGUUACUUGCUCAAAAGACAGCAGCAAUCGAUCCUGGACUCUCGACCAAAUGAUUUUUGCUAUUCAUGCUGUUGUAGAUAAAGGCAUGUCAUAUCGAGAAGCCUCAGCAAGCUGUGGCGUUAAAAGAACUAGGCUGUGUGAUCUAGUUAGAGCAUUUCGGCAAAAGGUUGAAGAAAAGGGCCAAACAGAGUCUACUUCAUUUUUCAGCAGCAGAGGCAAAACAAGUGUUUUCUUCCUGUUAUCAAGGACUCCUUAAGAAGAAGGCAUAAUGGGGACAUUUUGCAAGAUUAACUACUCUUAAGAUUAAGGAGCCUGAAUUUGAGGGGUAUGAACCUAGCAGAGCCAUUGAAUAUUGGCCUACUCUGGAUGGCACCAAGUGAGCAAAGAUUGGCUACAAGAGCAGUUACAAGUCAUACAGUGUCCAAGCAAGGAGUCCACUGUCACAUUUGUAAUAAAUAUUUGAAUACUCGGUCAUAUCUUAGAAAGCAUCUAGCUCUGCAUGAAGGCACCUGUCCUGAGUUUGAAUGUGACAUUUGUCACAAAGUUUUUAACUGGAAAACCAACUUGGUUCGUCAUAAGUAUGCUGUGCAUAAGGAAACACACAAUAGCGAGUUUUCAAACAUAAGUUUGCGUGACUCUUCAUUUUAAAAUCUCUGUUUCCCAAAUACAUGUAUUUUUAAACUUGCAUAAAUUUUCAUCAAAAGAUCUUAAUGGAUGUUAGUAGUAAUCCAUUUAUUUCAUUAAUGAGAUAAAAGCAUAGAUUAUCCUAUGUGGGAUUUCGAUUGUUUUAAUUAUUUACAAAUAGUGCAGUCAGUUUAAAUUUAGAAGAGUUUAAGAUUUUUUUAGGCAUUAUUAACCUGCUGUGUUUUUAUAAAGUAAAUUAUAGAUUUUUUAAAUUAGCAGAGUUACGUAGAAUUUCAUACUGGUCAUAUUUCUAAUUAAUUUUCAAAGAUUGUCAAACAGGGCAUGAUCUUUAUGUAUCCAUAUAUCAUUUUAUGCUUUUUGGAAGUUUUUAUUGAUUUUUGUAUUUCAAUGAUAUGACCUGAAUAAAAUUAUUUUGUAAGGAUUGAAUCUCUCUACUUAUUUUUUCUUUAAUUUACUGUGGUUAUUUGAAGACAUUUAUUAUAAGACUUGCAAUGAUAAGUAAGGUGUUUUACUAUGUCAGGUGUGUGGAACAGCAGUGUAAGGUCAAGUGGUUAAUUAUGUCAGAUGUGUGGAGCAGCAGAGUUAAGUCAGACAUAUUUUUAAAGUCAGAUGUUUAAAACAAUUUUAAG